rnacentral:rRNA from 1 species
AGGGUUCGAUUCUGGCUCAGGACGAACGCUGGCGGCGUGCUUCAUACAUGCAAGUCGAACGAUAAGGCACCUUCGGGUGUACAUAAGUGGCGGACGGGUGAGUAAUAUGUAGAGAAUCUGCCCUAGAGAGUGGGACAACAGUUGGAAACGACUGCUAAUACCGCAUAUGAGCGUACCUGAAAUGGUAUUCUUGAAAACUCCGGUGCUCUGGGAUGAGUCUGCAUCUGAUUAGCUAGUUGGGGGUGUAACGGACCACCAAGGCGACGAUCAGUAGCUGGUUUGAGAGGAUGAUCAGCCACAAUGGGACUGAGACACGGCCCAUACUCCUACGGGAGGCAGCAGUAGGGAAUUUUGCGCAAUGGGGGAAACCCUGACGCCAGCAACGCCGCGUGACCGAUGAAGCCCUUCGGGGUGUAAAGGUCUGUCAGUGGGGACGAAUAUUGACGGUACCCACAGAGGAAGCAUCGGCUAACUCCGUGCCAGCCGCAGC